CAACGGCGAACGACGUUUGUGCGGCGGCGCACCGUUUACGGACGACCCGAUCCGAACAUUCGGCGCACGUCGGACUACGAGUCUUCCACAGAUAUUCCGAAAAACGUUUCGCGGACUUGUCGAACCGGCGGUCCCGGCGUGUUCCGGUCGCGCGGACCGUUUUCCGAACGUUUGAUCCGUCAAAUGGGUCAAACGUUCGGACGCCGUUGGCAUUUUCGACUGCGCUCGCGGACGGUCUCUUUCGAUCGGCCGCGUCCGCUUCACUCGGGGUAAAGUUCGUUUCGAACGAAACACCGCGUUCAACCCCGCCGCAUUAAUAUUAAUACAAUGUCGUGUAUUUCGGAACACAUUGGCACAUAAAACAACCACUGUGAACUAUAGAUAGCCGACUGCCGUGACGAUAUAAUACGAUCGAGUACCGUAGAUCUGGGGGAUACGAUCGCCCUCGCCCGCCCGCCCUCCCCCCCCUCUCCACCGUCCCCGUUGUGUUGUCCUGGACGCGCCCCCCGUUAGAGGUAAGAGGUCGCGCCGCACAGACCAACGAGGUAAAUCCUAUUGAUAAACCUCACGAUUUCGAUAUAUUCUGUUUCGUUGCCAAGCGAACGAUACAUAAUUAUAUACACAGUGACGAUUUGUGAUCAAUUUCAAAUGUUUUUCGUAUUAUUCCACAGCCGGUAAACGUUUACGGCGGACGGCGGGUUAACCGACAAUAUGUGCUCUCUUCUUGUUUAGAUAUGGCUGACAAGCAUCAAAUCCACUCGUAGAUCAGUCGGCUGUCUAUAGCGGUUGUUUUAUGCAUCUGUGAGCGGAAACUGUUGGAUUUUUAUACGGGCGGAAACGGAUCGUUAUAAUUAUUAUUAUACAAUAUCGUAUACAAAGUCACAACUGUAUAUGAACCGCUAAAGGCGGAAAGGGCACGCGUUUGAAUUUUAAACAUUUUCGAGAAAGAAAAUUAUACUUAAUAUUAUAUCUGUAAAAAUUGAACCGGUACGUUUCAGAAGUCGUUCUAUGAAAUAUUGUACCGAACCGUAGGUGCUUAAGGGUUGUUUUUUUUUUUUUUCGUCUUUCUUGAAAAAUUUUAAAAUUUGUUUACGCGCCCUUUUCGCAUUUAGCGAUUCAUACAUAGUUUGAACGCGUGUCGCAUUAUCAUUAUUAUUAUACUAUCGUCGUUAUUUCGUUAAUCUGUUUUUAUGUUUCUCGUUAAUAUUAUUUAUAAGUACGCAAUAUCGCACUCCCGAGACUAUAUAUGUAUACAGAGUGAUUAAAAUUGUUUUAUUUUAUUUUUUUCAUCGCGAUCCGACCGAUUUCUCGGAGGAUUUUAAGUAAAUCUAAUUUCUGGUUUUUUUUUUUUUUUUUUUCAAUUAUUUCGUUUAAGCUUUGUUUUAACAUUGUUUUCAAACUGUUACCCCUACUCCUUAUAAUUGAAAUAAGUCUAAAUUGUCUGAAACUGAAAAAAAAAAAAAUCAAAAUCAACUCUACUCAAAAUCUUCGUUGAUAUAAUAUAAUCGUAAAAAAAAAAAAAAUAAUAAUAAAAAAUUUAAAAAUUCGCUUUGUAUACAUAUACACUGUGGCAGAGUAUUCACUAUUAUUAUAUGUAAUAAUAACAACAGUUUUUCCCGUCAGUUUAUUGUUAUUAAAUUGUAUACAUUUCAAACCGGUAAAACGCAUCGCAACAUUAUAUAAACAUUAUAUAGAUCUGUUAAACAAAAUAUAACAAUAUAAUAAUAAUACACUAUAUUUUUUUACACGUCGUUAUCAUACCUUACACUGUAAAAACAAUAUUGUAUCGUCGCCGUUACGCAAAAAGUAAUCUGGUGUAUAACCCCCGAAUGCCUUGUUUCAUCCAUACAUACACGUACAAACAAAUAAGGGUCCGCCGGAUGAUAUAAAUAUAUUUUAGGAAUCACUGAACACGUACGGUUGUUUUUUUUUUUUUUUCUGUUAUUAAGGUUCAAAUCUAAUAGCAUUAUAAUUAUCGAAUCUAAAGUUUAGAUUUAAAAAAAACUAAAUAAAUUGUAAAAACUUUUUUUUUUAAAUCGUCGAGUGACUUUUUGCACGGCGGCUACGAUACUGUCUGUUUGCUCUUUACGGUUUCCGGACCGAGAUCAAACAUUUAUCUAUAAGUACCUGCAGCGGGCAACCCGUUAAACCUAUUUACUCAUUAACAUUGUUUGUCGAAAAAUAUUCGGUAACGCGACCGCAACACUGUCGCGACGAUUUCCGAUUGGUGUGUAAUGUUCGCGCGCCGCCGUCUAUUAUUACAAAACCGAACCGUUAUGUAAAUAAAUGUGUACCCAACUCACAACUAUGAUGUAUAAUCUGCGUUUUAUUAUUAUUAUUGUUUUUUUUUUUGUAAAAUAAAAAUGUUUUUUAAUCCAUCCGUAUUUGAUCGUCGUAGCUGGUUCGCGUUACAACUGCUCUUAUCGUCGUAUACUAUAAUUAUUUUAGACUGUAAUAACGUUAUUGUAAUAGGUAUUGGUUUUUUACAAUCAUUAUUAUUAUUAUUAUUAUUAUUUUGUCCGACGGGCCGUGUUGCCGAGAUCAGUGUUUCGCUGUGUAUCAUUAUGUACCUAC
rnacentral:lncRNA from 1 species